rnacentral:rRNA from 1 species
GACUAUGGCCACACCACCCUUAAUGUACCCUAUCUCAUCUGAUCUCGGAAACAAAGCAGAGUCAGACCUGCUUGGUACUUGGAUGGGAAAAUAGACAGACACGAUAC